UCUGCGCGUGGGGCGCGGGCGCGCCGGCGGUGGUGCUGCCGGGCGGGGCGUACCGGAACCUGCCGCGGUUCGCGGCCGAGCGCGGGC
rnacentral:tRNA from 1 species